ACGUAGGGUGCAAGCGUUAAUCGGAAUUACUGGGCGUAAAGCGUGCGCAGGCGGUUUCGUAAGUCUGUCGUGAAAUCCCCGGGCUUAACCUGGGAAUGGCGAUGGAUACUGGGCAGCUAGAGUGUGUCAGAGGAUGGUGGAAUUCCCGGUGUAGCAGUGAAAUGCGUAGAGAUCGGGAGGAACAUCAGUUGCGAAGGCGGCUCUCUGGACCAGCACUGACACUGAGGCACGAAAGCGUGGGGAGCAAACAGGA
rnacentral:rRNA from 1 species